GGGAAUUUUGGGCAAUGGGCGAAAGCCUGACCCAGCAACGCCGCGUGAGGGAUGAAGUAUUUCGGUAUGUAAACCUCGAAAGAAUGGGAAGAAUAAAUGACGGUACCAUUUAUAAGCUCCGGCUAACUACGUGCCAGCAGCCGCGGUAAUACGUCGGGAGCAAGCGUUGUUCGGAUUUACUGGGCGUAAAGGGCGCGUAGGCGGCGCGGUAAGUCACUUGUGAAAUCUCUGAGCUUAACUCAGAACGGCCAAGUGAUACUGCUGUGCUAGAGUGCGGAAGAGGCAACCGGAAUUCUUGGUGUAGCGGUGAAAUGCGUAGAUAUCAAGAGGAACACCUGAGGCGAAGGCGGGUUGCUGGGCCGACACUGACGCUGAUGCGCGAAAGCCAGGGGAGCAAACG
rnacentral:rRNA from 1 species